rnacentral:rRNA from 1 species
AACGAACGCUGGCGGCAGGCUUAACACAUGCAAGUCGAGCGCCUCGCGAGGGGAGCGGCAGACGGGCGAGUAACGCGUGGGAACAUGCCCAAAGGUACGGAACAACUCCGGGAAACUGGAGCUAAUACCGUAUGUGACCGAGAGGUGAAAGAUUUAUCGCCUUUGGAUUGGCCCGCGUUGGAUUAGCUAGUUGGUGGGGUAAAGGCCUACCAAGGCGACGAUCCAUAGCUGGUCUGAGAGGAUGAUCAGCCACACUGGGACUGAGACACGGCCCAGACUCCUACGGGAGGCAGCAGUGGGGAAUAUUGGACAAUGGGCGCAAGCCUGAUCCAGCCAUGCCGCGUGUGUGAUGAAGGCCUUAGGGUUGUAAAGCACUUUCGCCAGGGACGAUAAUGACGGUACCUGGAUAAGAAGCCCCGGCUAACUUCGUGCCAGCAGCCGCCGUAACAC